AUCUGAUGAUACAAAACCAUCUCAUAUUAUCGAUGAAGAUUUACGGGACAAAACGAGGGAUUGGUUACGAAAAAUAUCGGAUUUAAAAAAUAAUGGAUGGAAGUUGGACCACUCUAACGAAAACGAAGCAAUUCACCUCGAAACAAUUCCAUAUGACGCCGCUUCUUCUAAAUUUGUUAUCCCCGAUCUAAUUGUUAAUAAUACGAUCGAUACCGUUAAAAACUGGUUGGAACAAACGUUGAAUACUUCACUCGAUAAAGAUAGAAUUUACAGGAUGGA